UACGUAGGGGGCAAGCGUUGUCCGGAAUUAUUGGGCGUAAAGCGCGCGCAGGCGGUCAAUUAAGUUUGGUGUUUAAUCCCGGGGCUCAACCCCGGGUCGCAUCGAAAACUGGUUGACUUGAGUGCGGGAGAGGAAAGUGGAAUUCCACGUGUAGCGGUGAAAUGCGUAGAGAUGUGGAGGAACACCAGUGGCGAAGGCGACUUUCUGGACCGUAACUGACGCUGAGGCGCGAAAGCGUGGGGAGCAAACAGG
rnacentral:rRNA from 1 species